rnacentral:misc_RNA from 1 species
UCCGCGCUUACGCGGGCAGUCUCAUUAGAGUCCUCAGCAUUACCUGUUAGCAACUAAUGAUAGGGGUUGCGCUCGUUACGGGACUUAACCCAACACCUCACGGCACGAGCUGACGACAGCCAUGCAGCACCUAGUUUCGUGUCCUUUCGGCCUUUCGCUUUUCUGCGAAAUUCACUAACUUUCAAGCCCAGGUAAGGUUCCUCGCGUAUCAUCGAAUUAAACCACAUGCUCCUCCGCUUGUGCGGGCCCCCGUCAAUUCCUUUGAGUUUCAAUCUUGCGACCGUACUCCCCAGGUGGAUUACUUAAUGCUUUCGCUUAGACGCGUACAGUGUAUCGCACACAUCGAGUAAUCAUCGUUUAGGGCGUGGACUAC